CAAGGCCGUUGUUAAGGGGAGGGAAUCAUCUCCUACAACAGUACUGUCACUGUAAUAUUGGCUACCACGAAGCGGUAGGGGACGGAAUAUAAGAAUUAUAGUUCAGUGAAGGGGGAUCCAAACAGAUUAUGACAUAACUAACAGAGGAACGAAUUGAGGAGAUAACAACAGCAACAACCGACUACCACGACCCGUGGCUGACGGCGAAGUCAUAAAACUAGUUAUAAAGCAUCGGUCAGAAAGACCGAGAGACGGACGGACGGACGGACGUACGGUGCAUCUCCGACCGCAGGCGCGCACACGAGCUGAGAGUAAUCACCACUGAUUCCGGUGGCGGAUCUCCCGUACUUGCGUGACGGUCAACGCUGGGUUGAUGGCAACUCCCAUUCGUCCUUCCCUCGUAUUCUUGCCACCUCCAUAGAAAUUUUAGUUUGCCAAAUGGACGGGCUACUUUUCCGACAGGAAAGAUUGACAGUGCGAGUGUUGUAGGUAUUUCGCCACGACUUAAAGUGACUCGCAGGCUAUACGUUCGCUCGGAAACGAAGUUGUGCCAGUGACUUACGAGCUCUCGAGGUGGCAGCGAGGGGCGACCUUAACAACCGUGAAGUGAAACAAUUACAGUCGUCACGUGUUUUAAUUUCAGUGCACUAUGUGUGUGUGUGUGUGAAUAACCGUACAAUGCCAGAGUGUGAUAUUGACAAUUAGUCACAUGCAAAAAAAAAGGCAGUAGAAUUCCAUUCAAGCGGAUGGAUAAAUAUUCGAGAAGAAACAGUUGAAAUGAGGGUUGAAGAAUCCAACUGCAAGUACCCAAUCAAAGUUUGACGGACCACGGGGAUUGGUGGUUGGGUUUUCAACCAAAACGGCGAAACUGGUGCGAGCGGCCGUGAUGUCCUCAAACAAUUGUCGGUGGUAUCCACGUCAACAGCGAAGCUACUGGAACAAUCUCGGGCGUUAGACAGGGCGCGUGUCCUCGUCAUCAUUUGGCGACGGCGUGGUAAACUACUAGUAGUCAUGGUGGUGGUGGUGGAAAGCUAGACACCCCCCCAAGCCCCUCACGGUUUUUUUUUCCUGAGUUUAACUUGAGGGUGGUUUGUGUGAGACUAU